AGAUCUUCGGAUCUAGUGGCAGACGGGUGAGUAACGCGUGGGAAUCUACCUGGUACUUCGGAAUAACUGAGGGAAACUUCAGCUAAUACCGGAUACGCCCUUUUGGGGAAAGAUUUAUCGGUAUCAGAUGAGCCCGCGUAAGAUUAGCUAGUUGGUGAGGUAAUGGCUCACCAAGGCGACGAUCUUUAGCUGGUCUGAGAGGAUGAUCAGCCACACUGGGACUGAGACACGGCCCAGACUCCUACGGGAGGCAGCAGUGGGGAAUAUUGGACAAUGGGGGCAACCCUGAUCCAGCCAUGCCGCGUGAGUGAUGAAGGCCUUAGGGUUGUAAAGCUCUUUCACCGGUGAAGAUAAUGACGGUAACCGGAGAAGAAGCCCCGGCUAACUUCGUGCCAGC
rnacentral:rRNA from 1 species